rnacentral:rRNA from 1 species
CCCCCCUUCCCAGAGAUCAGAAUUUUUGUUCUUGGAUUCUGCGAGUCCGAGGGACGUUGUUGGUGAUCUGCUCUGCUCUUGGACUGGAUCCGAAGAUCGGACGGCGAAGAACCCACUAAUCAACCGGUUUAUUACGGGAGAGGGGGCUGGCCGGAAGCUAAAUCAGCUUCCCGCUCCGUCCGUGUGUUCUCCCCUCCCCUGUUCUUGCUGAUCAACUUGGUUUCUCUUCUCCUCUGCUAUGUUACUGACAAAGUACUCUAUCAAGUAUGCAUGUAAAUAUUAUUUCUUGGUCGGCUGGUGAAAAUGAAGAACUCACUCCAUGCUUAAGAAUCGCUCUGUUGCUGUGCUUGUGAAUUGUUCAAUGCUUGGUUAGAUAUGUGCCAUUUUUUCGGGAUCAAACAAACUUUCAGAGCUUUAGCCAUGGACACUUGUCCAUUAAGAAAGCCAGCAAGAAAGUACCAACUGCCUUUGUGUACAAGUACAAGUACAAGGUAGGUAUUUUGCC